rnacentral:rRNA from 1 species
AUGGCCAACGCUCGCGAGAUCCGGCGCUUGCAACGUGCUGAUGGACCCGCCGCCGUGCUGGCCAUCGGCACGGCGAACCCGCAGCACCGCUUGUCCCAGGACGAGUACCCCGAGUACUACUUCCGUGUCACCAACAGCGAGCACCUCGCGGAGCAGCAGAAACCCAUACUCAACAUGAUAUGCAGGCUAACGGGCAACGAGUGGCGUUUCGUUCACAACACGGACAAGAUGAUGAGCGCCCAUCCCGAGUUCAUCGACCGCGCAACGCCAUCCCUCGAGCAACGCCUCGCCAUCGUUGCCGUCGUUGCUCCGGAGCUCCUUGCGGCAGCCGCGACCAAGGCCAUCGCCAGCUGGGGGCGCCCGGCCACCGACAUCACCCACCUCGUCGUCGUUACCAACUCUGGAGCCGGAAGCCCGAGCGCGGACGUCCCCUUGGCCACCCUUCUGGGCCUCCGCCACAACGUCUGCCGCACGGUUCUCCAGCUCAACGGCUGCUUCGCCGGUUGCGCUGCCUUGCGCCUGGCAAAGGACCUUGCCGAGAACAACCGCGGCGCGCGCGUCCUCGUCGCCUGCGUCGAGCUCAUGAGCGUCGCCGGCUUCCGUGGCCCCACCGAAGGGGAGGACUGGGUGAACAACCUCAUCAGGAACACGGUGUUCGGUGACGGGGCGGGCGCGGUGAUCGUCGGUGCCGAUGCCGUGGAGCCUGUCGAGCGCCCGCUCUUCGAGAUGGUGUCUGCGUCGCAGACCGUGGUACCGGACACCUUGCAAGUGGUGACGGCGGAGCUCAAGACAUGCGGCCUUGAUGGGAAUGUUUCCACCAAACUGCCAAACCUGGUGGCCGACAACAUUAAACAGUGUCUACUUGAUGUCUUCAGUCCGCUUGGCAUCGAGGUCAAAUGGAAUGACCUCUUCUGGGCGGUGCACCCGGGUGCCAUGGCGAUCUUGGACAAGAUUGAGAGGGUUCUCCUGCUGGAGCCCGGGAAGCUGAUGGCCAGCCGGACCGUUGCGCGAGAAUAUGGGAACAUGCUUAGCGCCACCAUCAUCUUCGUGCUCGACGAGCAACGCCGCCGAAUGGAGGAGGAAGGAGAGUGGGCUGAGUGGGGGGCCAUGGUGGGGUUUGGACCGGGUUUUACCAUGGAGACCAUGGUGCUUCAGGCUACCAGCAACCUCAAGAAAAUUAAUUAG